UUGUAGCUCGGAAAGGUAUCCUAUCCAACGUCGCUCUCGCCUGUGGUCCUCGCGGUCUUCUUCUUCCGGUGAGCGGCUGAACUGCUCCAUCGUUUUGCCCUGCGACGUCUCGUGCAAGGCAGUUCUCGGCGACGGCGACGGCGACGUCUCCACCCCCGUGUUGUCCCGUCCUCCGUCCGCACCUGCACGUCUCCACCCACGUGUUGUCCCGUUGUCGAUACUGCUGGCGUCGGUAACUGGCACGGUGGGGCUUGGUUUGCCUCGGAGUCGGAGGAUCGACGGGCGCCGGUACGGGUUCUUGGCAGCGACCGAUCGAUCUCGGCCGGGCUGGAUCGCCGUACGCGCAGCAGCCGUUGCGCCGGUCUCCCUCCGGACUGGACCUGGCCCCCGACCGGAUCUGCGCGGCACGAGCGAAAGCCGCAUGGAUCGGCAGCGACAAAUUCUCCAGGUGGAAUAUGUUCCAAUGCGUGAUGUUCGUGUCAAAUUUCAGCUUUGUUCGGACAUCUAAGGAGCUUAUGACAAAAAAGACAAAUCGGUCAAACAAUACAUGAACAAUGCACCUGAGAGUCAAAACGCAGCAUCCGCAUCCGGUUGAUCGACACUGCACCACAUGAGCCAUGCCGGGCAGCCGGGCAGGGGCUACGGAGCACGGGCGAUACGUAACCUGUUGUGUGUGGCGGUGUCUCGUCGAUGGCCAAAUGAUCGGCGCACGAGCACGCACGCACGCGCGCCACACUUGAUUGCCUGCUGCUUGCGUCGCCAUGGCAACGUACGUCUCCUAGCUCCCGCAUCGUCCCGUCCUCUGUCCGCACCUGCACCACGCGCCGAUGAAGAUUACGUCCUGUCCAUACGGGUCGGCACCGGCACCGGCACGGUCGUCUUCUUCCGCUCCGAGACGGGCUUGCGUUGGUACGGGCUUGGCGCUGGACCGAUGGAUGGAUCGCCGUACGUUGCGGUUGUCUCUGUUCAUCUCUCCCCGGACUGGACCGGCCCCCGACCGGACCUGCAGACGCGAGCGAAAACCGCAUCGACCGGCAGCAAGCCAUUACUGGGCCGCAUGCAGGUGGAGUUAACGACGGAGCCGGCCACUGGGACGACGAUGGUACAUGCUACUCCCUCCAUUUCGAAUUAUUUAUCGUAAGUACGAAUGUAUCUAGAUAUAUUUUAAUUUUAGAUACAUCCGUUUCUACGAUGAGUAAUCUGGAACGGAGGGGGAGUACCUAGCAUGUAUACUACACCUAAGCCCGGUAGUUUGGUUAUCCUUUUCUCUGGGCGACAAAUUUAUCCAGCGAUCCGCAUGUGCUGUUUUGUGCCAGCGAACAAGUGCUUGACUUGGAACAGAACAAAGCGAGUAGUACGUGGUAAUAACCUUCGUCCUCGUUUAUUAGUCUCCUUGUAUAUAUAUAGGGCCACCCAUGAUUUUAGCAACUAAUAUAAAACAUCAAUUAUGUGUAGCAAAAACAAUAUAGUUGAAAACAAUGUUGAAAUCUGAAUCCAACGAUAUAAUGUGUGAAGGGCUAGCUAG